AUGUGUCUUGAGAAAUUACGUGCCAGCAGUCGCGGUAAUACGUACAAGACUAGUGUUAUUCAUGUUUAAUCGGUUUAAAGGGUACCUAGACGGUAAAUCAAGCUUUCAUGUAAAAUGAAAAGGACUAAUUUACUAGAGUUACUUACGAGGGGGCAUUAAAGUACUGCUGGUGUAGAGAUGAAAUUCUGUUAUACCUCUUUUCGAAAAAAUCAUGGCACAGGUAUAGGCGAAGGCAUCUCCUUAUGUGAUAACUGACGUUGAGGGACGAAGGCUUUGUGUAACAAACAGGAUUAGAUACCCUAGUAGUUGAAGCAGAAAAUGAUGAAUGUCAUAGAUUAGAUGUAUAAGUUUAUUCUAUAAAUGAAAGUGUAAGCAUUCCACCUCAUGAGUAAUUUGGCAACCUUGGAAUUGAAAUCAUUAGACCGUUUCUGAAACCAGUAGUGAAGUAUGUUGUUUAAUUUGAUAAUCCGCAAAAAACCUUACCACAAUUUGAAUAUUUAUAUUAUUUGUUUCUUAUUAAUUAAGUUAAUAAAAAGGCAAUAAGAUAUAUUUACAAGCGUUGCACGGCUGUCUUCAGUUAAUGUCGUGAGACUUUGGUUAGUUCCAUUAAUUUA
rnacentral:rRNA from 1 species